AUAUGGUCAAGUGAAUAAGCGCAUAUGGUGGAUGCCUUGGCGACAACAGGCGAUGAAGGGCGUGGUAGCCUGCGAUAAGCCUCGGGGAGCUGGCAAACAAGCUUUGAUCCGGGGAUUUCCGAAUGGGGAAACCCGGUCUACGUACGUAGGCCAUCAUUAUCUGAAUAGAUAGGAUAAUGAAGCGAACCCAGCGAACUGAAACAUCUAAGUAGCUGGAGGAAAAGAAAUCAACCGAGAUUCCGUUAGUAGCGGCGAGCGAACGCGGAAUAGCCAACAUUCUUUAGCAUACAGUUUAGUAGAACGGUUCUGGAAAGGCCGGCCAUAGUGGGUGAUAGCCCCGUAUAUGAAAGGCGGUAUGUGGAACUAAGAUUGUAUUAAGUAGGGCAGGACACGUGUUAUCCUGUUUGAAGAAGGGGGGACCACCCUCCAAGGCUAAAUACUCGUUGUCGACCGAUAGUGAACCAGUACCGUGAGGGAAAGGUGAAAAGAACCCCUGUAGGGGAGUGAAAUAGAACCUGAAACCGUAUGCGUACAAGCAGUAGGAGCCUAAUUCAUUUUGGAUGAGGUGACUGCGUACCUUUUGUAUAAUGGGUCAGCGACUUACUUCUCAGUGGCAAGCUUAACCGUUUUAGGGUAGGCGGAGGGAAACCGAGUCUUAAUAGGGCGUUGAGUCGCUGGGAGUAGACCCGAAACCGGGCGAUCUAUCCAUGGCCAGGGUGAAGGCAGGGUAACACCUGCUGGAGGCCCGAACCCACCGUCGUUGAAAAGCCGGGGGAUGAGCUGUGGAUCGGAGUGAAAGGCUAAUCAAGCCCGGAGAUAGCUGGUUCUCCCCGAAAACUAUUUAGGUAGUGCCUCGCGUCUCACUCUCGGGGGUAGAGCACUGUUUCGGCUAGGGGGCCAUACCGGCUUACCAAACCGAUGCAAACUCCGAAUACCGAGAAGUGUAAUCGCGGGAGACAGACGGCGGGUGCUAACGUCCGUCGUCGAGAGGGAAACAACCCGGAUCACCAGCUAAGGUCCCAAAAUCAUGGCUCAGUGGGAAACGAUGUGGGAAGGCAGAGACAGUCAGGAGGUUGGCUUAGAAGCAGCCAUCCUUUAAAGAAAGCGUAAUAGCUCACUGAUCGAGUCAGCCUGCGCGGAAGAUGUAACGGGGCUUAAGUCAUGUACCGAAGCUGUGGGUGCAAAUUAUCCAUUUUUAAUGGGAGGUUUGCGCGGUAGGGGAGCGUUCCGUAAGCUGUCGAAGGUGUAUCGUGAGGUACACUGGAAGUAUCGGAAGUGCGAAUGCUGACAUAAGUAACGAUUAUGCGGGUGAGAAACCCGCACGCCGGAUGUCCAAGGGUUCCUGUGCAACGUUAAUCGGCGCAGGGUGAGUCGGCCCCUAAGGCGAGGCCGAAAGGCGUAGUCGAUGGGAAACAGGUUAAUAUUCCUGUACCUUUCGUAACUGCGAUGGGGGGAAGAAGAAGGCUAGGCUAGCCGGGUAUUGGUUGUCCCGGUUUAAGCGUGUAGGAAGUGUUUCAAAGGUAAAUCCAGGAGCAUAAUUCUGAGGCGUGAUGAUGUAAGUAGCUAAUGCCAUGCUUCCAGGAAAAGCCUCUAAGCUUCAGGUUAUGAAAGACCGUACUCCAAACCGACACAGGUGGACAGGGCGAGAAUCCCAAGGCGCUUGAGAUAACUCUGGUGAAGGAACUAGGCAAAAUAGCACCGUAACUUCGGGAGAAGGUGUGCCUCUAGUACGUGAAAAGGCUAAGCCCUUGGAGCGGAGGGAGGUUGCAGUGACUAGGUGGCUGCGACUGUUUACUAAAAACAUAGCACUCUGCAAACUCGUAAGAGGACGUAUAGGGUGUGACGCCUGCCCGGUGCCGGAAGGUUAAGUGAUGGGGUUAGCUUAGGCAAAGCUCUUGAUCGAAGCCCCGGUAAACGGCGGCCGUAACUAUAACGGUCCUAAGGUAGCGAAAUUCCUUGUCGGGUAAGUUCCGACCUGCACGAAUGGCGUAACGAUGGCCACGCUGUCUCCACCAGAGACUCAGUGAAAUUGAAAUCGCUGUUAAGAUGCAGUGUACCCGCGGCUAGACGGAAAGACCCCGUGAACCUUUACUAUAGCUUUACAUUGAUCUUUGAGCAUGUUUGUGUAGGAUAGGUGGGAAGCUUUGAAGCUGAAACGCUAGUUUUAGUGGAGCUAACCUUGAAAUACCACCCUGGCAUGUUUGGGGUUCUAACCCAGUCCCGUUAUCCGGGUCGGGGACAGUGUAUGGUGGGUAGUUUGACUGGGGCGGUCUCCUCCUAAAGAGUAACGGAGGAGCGCGAAGGUGCCCUCAGCACGGUCGGAAAUCGUGCAGUGAGUGUAAAGGCAAAAGGGCGCUUGACUGCGAGACGGACACGUCGAGCAGGUGCGAAAGCAGGCCUUAGUGAUCCGGUGGUUCUGAGUGGAAGGGCCAUCGCUCAACGGAUAAAAGGUACUCCGGGGAUAACAGGCUGAUACCGCCCAAGAGUUCGUAUCGACGGCGGUGUUUGGCACCUCGAUGUCGGCUCAUCACAUCCUGGGGCUGUAGUCGGUCCCAAGGGUAUGGCUGUUCGCCAUUUAAAGUGGUACGCGAGCUGGGUUUAGAACGUCGUGAGACAGUUCGGUCCCUAUCUGCCGUGGGCGUUGGAGACUUGAGGGGAGCUGCUCCUAGUACGAGAGGACCGGAGUGGACAUACCUCUGGUGUUCCGGUUGUCACGCCAGUGGCACCGCCGGGUAGCUAUGUAUGGAAUGGAUAACCGCUGAAAGCAUCUAAGCGGGAAGCCUACCCCAAGAUGAGGUCUCCCGGGCAUUAAUGCCCCUGAAGGUCCGUCGAAGACUACGACGUUGAUAGGUGAGGUGUGGAAGCACAGUAAUGUGUGUAGCUAACUCAUACUAAUUGACCGUGUGGCUUGACCAU
rnacentral:rRNA from 1 species